ensembl:lncRNA
CAGGAUCUCUUACCUUCUUUCUCAUCUGAAUCCCAAACCAAACCUAGGGGUUCUUAAUCAGGACUGCAAUUAGCAUCACCUGGAAAGCCUUCAAACCAACAUGGCGCUGGGAACCUCCCCGUUCGCGUCCCUCCGCUCCCUACCCCCAGCUCAGUUGAAAACGGAAACUCUUGAGUUCAGGGCAGGUGACCGGUGUUUCUUAAAAGCCUGCUAGGCUGUCCUGUUGCAAAAAGCUCUAGUCAUUACUUCCACCGCCUGCUACCAUGCACGCUUCCUAAUGUGGAAGCAGGCUAAAUCUGAAGCUCUCCACAGCUAGAGGCGGGAGCACGCUUGGAACCGGGCCUAGGAGGCCAUGAAACCCCAGACGCCAUCUUGGUGAUUGAAAAGGAGAUACAAACUGUUGGGUGUAAAACACUCAAGGAUGUAUACACAGGGCAGUGUCAAUAUGUUGUAAUAACUAAAUGGAAAGUUAACUUUUAAAGAGUGUAUUAAUAUUUAAUAAAAUGAAAACGAAAACCAAAACUCCUAUUUCUCUUUACCUGCAUACCACUUCUGACGCCAAAUAUGCAGGCUUUCCCACACCAAGCAAUUUUCCAAUUCUCGACAGGCACGGAGUGGAUGUCUUGUACUUUAAUUCAAUUCUGACCCUAACUGCCCCAAAUUAACACAAGCCUCACAGGUUUAGGCCUCCGGCCUACAAGACUGCUCGCUCCCCAUUGCAGACACCAAUUUCAAGUCCAGGUUGCAGCCAGAGCUUCUGACCCACCAAUGUAAGUCAGUAGGGGCGGGGGGGAGGAGGUGUCCCACGACCCCCUCCUUCAGGCUUCACAAUGUACUAGAACGGCUCACACAACUCAAGAAAACAGUUUACUCACCGGACUGGUGGUUUAUCAUCAAGGACACAGCCCAGGUACAGGCAGCCAAAUGGAACAGAGAGAGGUACAGGGCAGAGUGUGUGAAGCUUCCACCUGUGUCCAGGACGCCAACCUCCCUCCACCACAUACUCAAGGGAGCCGCUCACCAAACACCACCCAUAGGCUUCUUCAAGGGCGGUCUUCUUACGUAAGCCCGUAAAGCAGGGUUGAUUGCAUCAUUGGCCACAAGUGCUGCGCUCAACCUUCAGGCUCACUGCCCUUCCUGGCGGCCAGUGGGCGGGGCUAAAAGUACCAAUUCCCAAAGAGAAGGUUGGUUCCC